rnacentral:rRNA from 1 species
CGUAGGGUGCGAGCGUUAAUCGGAAUUACUGGGCGUAAAGCGUGCGCAGGCGGUUUUGUAAGCCAGAUGUGAAAUCCCCGGGCUUAACCUGGGAAUGGCAUUUGGGACUGCAAGGCUUGAGUUUGGCAGAGGAGACUGGAAUUCCUGGUGUAGCAGUGAAAUGCGUAGAUAUCAGGAGGAAUACCGAUGGCGAAGGCAGGUCUCUGGGCUGAAACUGACGCUCAUGCACGAAAGCGUGGGGAGCAAACAGGAUUAGAUACCCUGGUAGUCCACGCCCUAAACGAUGUCGACUGGUUGUUGGGGGUUUGACACUCUCAGUAACGAAGCUAACGCGUGAAGUCGACCGCCUGGGGAGUACGGCCGCAAGGUUA